AGCAGGUACGAAAGUAGGAGAUAGUGAUCCGGCGGCUCCUCGUGGUAGGGCCGUCGCUCAUCGGCUAAAAGGUACCCUAGGGAUAACAGGCUGAUCGUUCCCAAGAGUCCAUAUCGACGGAACGGUUUGGCACCUCGAUGUCGGCUCGUCGCAUCCUGGGGCCGGAGCAGGUCCCAAGGGUUGGGCUGUUCGCCCAUUAAAGCGGCACGCGAGCUGGGUUUAGAACGUCGUGAGACAGUGAACCAACCCGCGCUGUCUAUAAAUUCGGCUAAAUGCUGGAAACUUCGGUUGUAUCCUGCGGUACUGCUUAGUGUCACAGGCCAUCAUUAGGCUUGAGAUGUGAGCAGUGACAAUCCGUCAGGUGAGCGGCCUCAAGCUGCGCCGGACAAUCAGCAGGAAAGACUGAACGACUAUCUGUCGGGAUACGUCGACGGGGAAGGAAGCUUUCACGUCGCCGUUCAGCGCAAUCCGUCCACAAGGUUCGGCUGGCAACUCGUUCCUGAGUUUCAUGUCAGCCAGAAUCCAGAGAGAGCGUCCGUUCUCUACCUUCUACGAUCCCAACUCGGCUGCGGCCGGAUUCAGAGGAACGCAGGAGAAGGGAAAAGAGACAAGUCUUUGGUUCUUGUGGUGAGAAAGCGCACAGACCUUCUCACAAAGGUGAUUCCAUUCUUCGAGUCGUGUCCAAUCCUGAGCGAGAAGAGGCUUGAGUUCGAGACAUUCGCUCAUGUAGUGAGAGCGAUGGAUCGUAAAGAGCACCUAACUCAGGAUGGAUUCGACCGCUUGCUGCAACUCGCUGUUCGGAUGAAUGGCGGUGGCAGAUACCGAAGAAUCGAUUGGUCGUCCAGAAUCCUCAGAGGCUAUACGCCGAACACGGAAUCAGGAUUCCGUGAAGAUAUAGUCCGACCCUCAUGGCGACAUGGGGAGCCAGGCGGAACAGAAACGACCUGGCCGCUCGAUCCAUACGAACAAAUGGAGUUAACGAUCGAGAGGUAACAGAAGUGUCGGUCCCUAUCCUCCGUGGGCGUAAGAGAUUUGAGGAGAGCUGUCCCUAGUACGAGAGGACCGGGACGGACGCACCUCUAGUGUGACAGUUGUCCUGCCAAGGGCACGCUGUUUAGCUACGUGCGGAUCGGAUAAGCGCUGAAAGCAUCUAAGUGCGAAGCCGGCUCCAAGAUGAGAUCUCUUGCCGCGUUAAGCGGAAAAGGCUCCUUGCUAGACGACAAGGUUGAUAGGCCGGAGGUGUACGCACAGCAAUGUGUUCAGCCGACCGGUACUAAUAGGCCGUAGGCUUGGUCUC
rnacentral:rRNA from 1 species